rnacentral:rRNA from 1 species
GUACGGAAGGCAGCAGUGAGGAAUCUUGCGCAAUGGGCGAAAGCCUGACGCAGCAACGCCGCGUGCGGGAAGAAGGCCUUCGGGUUGUAAACCGCUUUCAGAAGGAACGAAACUGACGGUACUUUCAGAAGAAGGUGCGGCCAACUACGUGCCAGCAGCCGCGGUGACACGUAGGCACCAAGCGUUGUCCGGAUUUAUUGGGCGUAAAGAGCUCGUAGGCGGUUCGGUAAGUCGGGUGUGAAAACUUUGGGCUCAACCCAAAGCGUGCACUCGAUACUGCCGUGACUAGAGUUCGGUAGGGGAGUGGGGAAUUCCUAGUGUAGCGGUGAAAUGCGCAGAUAUUCGGAGGAACACCGGUGGCGAAGGCGCCACUCUGGGCCGAAACUGACGCUGAGGAGCGAAAGCGUGGGUAGCAAACAGGAUUAGAUACCCUGGUAGU